rnacentral:rRNA from 1 species
GUCGAGCUUUAGAGUAAAGCAGGAAUAUAAGUAUUAAAAAAAAUCAAUGACUACAUAACUCUUUAGUUGGGGCGACUAAGGAACAAAUAAAGCUUCUUUUAGUUUUUUAGAUCAAUAAAUUUAGAUCCAGCAAAGCUGAUUAAAAGAAUUAGUUACCGCAGGGAUAACAGCAUAAUCUCUCUUGAGAG